UGGUUAGACGUCAUUUAAUUAAGUGCCGCAGCAGAAACAAACAGGCACACAGGCUGGUAAAUCCCCAGGGUACUACCACUGCAGGUGAACAGUAAGAGAUAUUGCGUGAACAGUAUAGUAUUUUGGCAUUGUGGGCAGUAGGGCAAAAGCCUUUGAGAAGCUGUGGGGUAUUUGGGGGGUGGUGGGAGGGGGGACCUCGGGUGCUGGAGGUAUAGCAUGGCAGGAAAGGUGACAGGCUGAUGAAGGACAGGAGCAUCUGCGACCCUGGCUUGAGUUUUUAGCGCACAGCUGUUCCUCCAUUUUGGUCGGUAGCACCAAAGUGCUGAGGUCAGGGCUUCUAAAAGGAUAGAAUUAUCCUCCUGCAGGCAGUUUGACAAUAAAUAAGUUAUAGUGGAAAACAUUUUGGAUUACAGAGAAUACCAAGGGAAGGGGUCACGAGCAGCAAUGAGCAUUUGGAUCCAAAUCUAAAUCUUUUAAAAUAAUAUACAGUACAGUCAGCUAUCAACUUGCGGAAAAACACCUUAAGUGAAACUAUAUAAAAAAAAUUAUCGAAGAUACGAGAUAUCCAAGUUACGGAACGCUAAUGAAAAAAGGUGACAUGUGCCUGCUCUGGAAGAAACCCAGAUGCUAUCAGAUGUUUGGAAGACAAAGACCACUGCCAAAAGGAAAACCAGACACUGGCUCCAUACAGGACGACCAUAUAUACAUUAUUAGAGAAAGGCUGAGAAUCACUUUCACGUCACGUCGACAUUGCUUUUUCAUUCUUGAAAGAUCUGAAGCAGGCUAAAGGAGCUAAACUGCACAGUGAGCGUGCAAAUUUGUUUGUUUAUCCAGGCUGCAUUUCACAUUUUCCAGAAGCUUUAAAAAAAAACACCAUGUCUCCCAUCUGUGUUUUUCCACAACUGCAGCAGCAUACAGUUUUCAAUCAUCACUUUCUUUCAGCUCAGAUACGUCACCCCUAUGCUUUUAACAAUAGGGAUUGUCCACAAGCCUGUUCAGGACCCGGAUAAUCAAUAGAUUCGAAACAAUGAUAUCAAGACCGUUCAUUCCUUUUCUUUUUAAGCACAUGUAAAAAAUAGAUAUCUAGCAUCUGUUUGCCAUUCCUCUGCCAUUCUGAUGUGAUGCCAACCACUUGAACUGUUCUGUUUUGUUUCCGCCCCCCCCCCCCCCCUUUUAAAUUCCCAAAGAGAAACAGAUUGGCUUGUUGUUCCCUUGUAAUAAACCCAGGAGGAACUGCAUGCUGCCACUUCCCUUGCACAGAAAGACUGGUGAGUCAGACUGAUACCUGGAGCAUUUUAACAAACACGCACAGACUUGCGAUGUGCCCACUGUUUGCACAAGCCUUGGCAGGGACCUUUCUAGAGAAGCCCACCGUCUAUGUGCGACAGUGCUAAAUUCAUGCAUGUCCAAGAGAGGAGUGAUACCACCCCCUUGAGUCGGACCAGCACCACAGUCAGAGAACACUUACAGGUCCAUGCAACAGCCUAAAAUUACCCUCCAAAGAAAGCAGUCAGUCAGUCACACAAGCGGUUAUACAGGAAUACCAUACCAGGCUGGAAAACUGUAUGCUCAAUGAUAUAUAGCUCUCGUGUGUGUGUGCGCGUGUGUGUGUAAAAUAUGAGCUAUUCAGCUUUUCCCUGUAUUACAUUUAAUUACCACCUGUCUUGUACAGAACCUUUAAACAUAUACAUUUCCUCCAACAGAAGGAAAGGCAGACUAGCACCAACAACCUCAUAGGUAAUACUUUAAAUGAGAUGAACACCGUACCUUCCCUCGACUGAAAAAUGGUCCCUUGUGUUGUGCCACCUUGACCAUGAAAUAUUGAAUAUAGGAAAAGACCAAUUAAUGGAAAGUUGGGAGAUAUUGUGUCCACCUGCCACAUUCUGACAGGACAGCCCCUGAAACUAGUAGUUGGGCAGUUGAGAUACUCAUCCCAUCUCUCUCCAGUUAUUCUUAAAAAAUACAAGUUCUCAAGCUUCAAAGAUUUCAGGAGGUGACUAAAACUCCGGCAUUAAACUGUGUCAUGGAAGAGUCCACAUACACGGCAAUAAUCCCCAGCGGCGCAGUUCCAGCUCCUCAGUGACCGCACCACCAACCCGGCUCCCGGGCUGUUGAGACGUCAGAUCCCUUCUGGGAGUGUUCGCCUCCUUAAGCCUUUGCCUCGCCAUCCCACAGACUGCACAUCUGUUUCCAAUCCCGUCCAGCUUCAGCAAACACAGUGUUCAGCAAUAAGGCUCAAAAGGGCUUCCACGGGACCCCUGACACAAAAGUCUCUGACGCAGCAAGAAAGCCCAACAGCGCGACAGAUGUGUUCUGUCGACACCACUGCACGCGAUUAUGCUGGGACUGUGAGGCCCAGAUGUCUUGCGCAUCCAGAAAAUGUAUUUAUUUAUGUGUUUAAAAGUCAUCCUUGGAGAGCAUACUUUUGUGCUCUGAAGACAGCAUACUGUUUUAUCAUCUCAGUAUUAAUGACAUUUGCAUUCCCGUAAUCCCUUGUGAAGAAUUUUUUCACAUAUUCCCCAUUUCGAAACUAAAAUGAGGAAUGCGUGAAAUAUGUCUCAAAUUUUUGUUGGAUUCAGCAUCUGGUCAAUGAAAUUGGUAAAAAAUUACAUUUCAUUUUACAUACAUACACACAAACACACAGCUUCCUUUGCAGGGGGUCUGGGCGGAGUUUGAAGAUCUGGGAGGGGCCCCAGGCCAGAUAAGCGGCAGACAAUGGACGGACAGGAUUCUGUUAGUUUCGUUUUCCUUUCUCCGCUGAUACAUACUGCCCAGCAUACACGCGGUGAGAAUGUCAGAACUUGGCCGAGUUGUGCAUGAGUAACCUUUGUAUGCUCGACAAUGCUCAGACGCUGCUUAGCAGCGACAAACAUUCCAGCAUUUGUGACCUUCAUUGCACUUGGUUCUCCAUUAAGAUUAGACUGACCUGGUUUGUUUUUCAGGUUUCUCUUGAAGAACAUAGACACCUAGGCUAUUGUUCGUGUAAAAAAACAAAAAAACAAAAAACAAAACACCAAUCAGUAUCAUUUCAAGUAGAGAGUAGGUUGGUCGGUAGCACUGUGACGAGCUGAUCCCCCACCCGCCAGAUGUGGAGUUUGCAUUUACUCCCUGGAUUUGCAAGGGUUUCUUCCCACAGUCCGACAUUUAUGUGAAAUGGGGUUUUUAAAUCGUCCUCAGAGUGUGUGUGUGUUGUGCGUGUGUUCCCCGUGAUACCUUACAGCACGGGUGUCAAACUCCAGUCCUGGGUGGCCAGAGAAUUGCUGAUUUUGGAUUUCCCUUCAUUUAACACAGCGGAUUCAACUCCUUGUGCUAAUUACCACACAGCUCUUGACCUGAAUCAUUUGUGGUGAAACUGGAAAAAAACUACACUACACAGGGCUCCGGCCUCCCAGGACUGGAGUUUGACACCCCUGCCUUACAAGGUGUCCCCUGCCCUGUACUUUAUUCUUCCUUGGACAUGCUCCAGGCCCAGUGACCCAUGAGUUACUGAACAUGGAUGUCAUUUUCAUUCAUCUGUAAGUCAUACUUUUAAAGAUUCUAAAAUGUAUAUUUUUUUUGUAAUCUUCAGGCUGGCAUCUUCAUUCUUGCAUUGGUACUGAGAACCUCCCUGGUUUCAGCGUCAGUACCGCAAAGUUCACAACCUCAAAAAGCAAUGCCUCCAUCAAAAAUAAAGCCAAAAUAAAAAGUUCACCUUUUGCAGAAUAUAGGCUCAGGUGACAGCUGGAGAAUUGUGCUGCAAAAUAUGCUACAUCACCUAGCAUACUGUACAGGAACACUUGUCAGUUUAUAUGAGAAAGUGUAUGUUUGUGCUUUUACAUUCUGAAAAAGCUGGAGGGAAAAUAAACCGACUGGUUAAACUGCAGUUCUCUGUGGUGCGCAAAAUGCAAAUGUGUUAACACAAAACAAAAACAAAACGGAUGAUAAGCAGUGCUGCGAAAGGAAUAAGAGAACGCAAUCCUUUUAAGAUUCAGAUCUCUAUUUUAAGUAAAAAAAAAAAAAACAACAACCCUUUGACCUCUGCUAGAUCUGUCAUCCACAAAAACAAAAAAAAAAAUCUGGGAAGAAUGCAAACAUGUUUAACCCAAACUGCAAAAACAGGAACCCAACUACUAUGAAACAAGUAGUUCAUUAAGGACAUGAUAAAAUAAUAAAUACCAGCACUGGACAUCUGGUUGAAGUCAGCAGCAAGCUUGCAUUAUGAACAUCGUCAUUUACCUAUCAAUGCAGUACAUAUAAGGGCUGGAAAUGCUGGGUUCAGCACUCAUUCAGUUCCAGUGUAUGGAACACUGAGGAGACUGUCUCCAGGGUUAGUACACAGAAAGCAAAGCACUUGGAAACUAAAUUACAACAUGUCCUUUUGGGGAAGAAGACUGCCUUCGUCUCUGGUUCAUAAACUGAAUGAAAAUGAAUGCUUUGGACCCACUUAUUAAGCUUUUAUUGUCUUUAAAGGUGUAUUUUCCCGAUUUUUACUUUAAGGCUUUUAAAAAAAAAAAUUAAAAAUUAAAAAUCAGCCCUUCGGUUUAACAGCUAUCAAAAUGCCACUGGUAAGCCUUGUCAUCAGAUGCCGUGCAGUACCUCAAAAUUUAGGAAUUCUCUCUAAGGGCAUCCUCACUGGCCAGGUAACAAAACUCGCAGUAAUAUUCACAACGUGACCCUCUGAACCUGACCUAGGCAAGAAGGAGCUUAGAUCAGAGCCCUGUCAAUGAGUCGCAGUCCAACAUUUCCAAGUACGAAAUUCUGUCUAUUCUGUUCAAAACACAUGAGGUUCGUGUCCAUCGCAACUCUGAAUUUGGUUUUUCAUGACAAUAAAACCACAUUAUACAUUAUAGAUAUAACAAACAAAACACUUGUUAUAACAAGAUUCAGGGCUUUGCUACAAACAUUCGGAGUGCAAGCCUCACUAGCCCAACCCUGGAUCCGCCACUGGAUCAAAGCCUAGAAAGGCUAAGCAAGCCAGCAUAUUGCUCAACUAGGAACAGUUCACAAGUGAGAAGACCUUUGCAUGGUUAUUAUCACUGAUAUAACAGUGCAAUCCAACGACCUUUCGGUUCUGGAUUGCUAUUUGACUGCCAAGUAAACAUUCAAGAUAUUUACAUAUCACAAGGCUUUGAAUGAAGAGCAGAUUACGGUUAGUCUGGUCAGCAAGGCUAUAUUAUCUCAUACACGUUAUGCAUCCAUCCAUCUAUCUUCAAACAGCUUGUACUGGUCAGGGUCACGGGGAUGCUGGAGCCCCCUCCCCCUCAUGCAGCAUAGUGCACAAGGCCAGGAUAUACCCUGGAUGGGAGGCCAGUUCAUAUAACAAGGAAAAUUCAUACACAUUCACACACUAUGAGCAAUUCAGAGACACCGAUUUGCCUAACUGCAUGCAACUGUCUUUGAACUGCAAGAGGCAUGACGAGGACAGAACAUGCAAAGUACACACAGAGCAGAGAUGGGGCACCAACUCAACCGCUGUGUAUCUACACAUACACAUUAUAUUAGAUGUAUGUUUAUAUACACGAUGCAUACGUGAAGAUGUGUAUUUAUUUACAAGCACUAUAUAUGUUUUUAUACAUACACACAUACAAAUGUACAGACAUGUGUGCACUGUGUACACACACACACACACACACACACGGGCUUUGAAUCAAUUAAACUCAGUUUUGUGAUUAAUCGCAUUAAAUUGCACCUAAUAUUAAAACUGAGUCAAAGAUUUUGUUAUCUGUGACUCAGUUUAAAAAAUCUGACUCAGUUUGCUCAAAUUUAAAAAAUUAGUUUGAAGAGAGCUUAAAAUUAAACGACUUAUUGUCUAAAAUAUUGAUUUUGGAGCUGAGAAAAAACAAAAACUGAGCAAAAAUAUAAAUCUUGUACACUGACUGCUUUCUGUUAGUUACCUGCAAUAAAAGUUCAAAGAUGUAAAAUCACUGUAUGUCAUUUUGUGUUACUGACUGGCUAUUUGGGUAAAAUGGUUGAAAGAAAUCAAAUUAGAGCAACAAAUGACAAUUUUAAUACACCUUACUUUAACUUUAUGUCAGUUGCUCUAAACAAAACACUAUUUCACAUAACUGUUUUUUCUCUAAAAAUUCUUAAGUACAUGAGAAUGACCCAUAUUUUAGUUUUUGUUAAAUGGUUUAGCUUGUGAUGUACGGAUUUUAGCUUUGCAUUCUGGGAUUCUGUGCAAUGCCAUGACCUAAACUCCCACGUUGUUUAUGAUCAUUAGGGGAUAAUUACAGGCCUCUAUUGAAAUCUAUGAUUAAACUAUUCUCCAUUUUUGGGGGUAAAAUAUAGCAUGUGUUAGCA